UUUUAAACUUGGAUAUCAGAAUGAUUAAGUUGUUUCGAGAUUUACUCAUUGAUAUAAACAGAACAACUACAAGACCGGAUAUAAAGGUUUUCAAACAGAAAUCUGAACAUCUAUUUGCACUCAUAACUAAUGAUAAAUUUUUAAAAACCAUACCUAUGUCACAAUCUGUGCAUAGAGUGAUAGUUCAUGGUACUUCUUUUAUAAGGUAUUUUAAGUAUCCGAUAGGUUCUUUGUCUGAGAGUGCUAUUGAAGCCAGAAAUAAGGAAAACAAAACUGCUCGAAUUGGUCAUGCUCGUUUAACCUCUUUUGCAGAAAACACUAGGGAUACAGCUAAUUAUUUGUUUAUGACAUCUGAUAUGUACCUCUUUUGCAAAAAAAAUAAAAUGAAUAAAAAAAGAGUGAAAACAAAAUAGUUUAAGAAAGCAAAGUGACAGUUCUUCUGAUAACUGCUUAAAAUAAAGGAAGUAAGACCAUGAAGAAUCAUACUGAUGAGCUGUUCUGCGUUGAAUUUUUAAAAAACGGCUAUUUUCAUAGCCACAAGUUAUUAAAAACAUCUAUUAGAAUAGAAUGUUGAGAAACUGUAAAAGAAUGCAAAGAGCCAAGUAUCAUAUGAUAGCAGAGUUGUUUAUUAUAUUCAAUGAUACUGUU